CUUCCAGCAGCAGGAGUUACCUUUGGUACUGCCUUUCACAGGGGAUUGCAGAGCAGCAAUGACAGGUCACAGCCAUGCUCAGCUCUGGGACAGAGAGGGUCAAGGUCUAUCAAGAGGGCCUUACAGCUACUGAAGCCACAGUGAAAAUGCC